GAUGAAGAACGCAGUGAAAUGCGAUACGUAAUGUGAAUUGCAGAAUUCAGUGAAUCAUCGAGUCUUUGAACGCACAUUGCGCCCCCUGGUAUUCCGGGGGGCAUGCCUGUCCGAGCGUCAUUGCUGCCCCCAAGCACGGCUUGUGUGUUGGGCCUCCGUCCUCCUCCCGGGGGACGGGCCCGAAAGGCAGCGGCGGCACCGCGUCCGGUCCUCGAGCGUAUGGGGCUUCGUCACCCGCUCUUGUAGGCCCGGCCGGCGCUUGCCGACACAUCAAUCUUUUUUCCAGGUUGACCUCGGAUCAGGUAGGGAUACCCGCUGAACUUAAGCAUAUCAAUAAGCGGAGGA
rnacentral:misc_RNA from 1 species